rnacentral:pre_miRNA from 1 species
AUGGUACUCCCUCCGUCCGGAAAUACUUGUCAUCAAAAUGAAUAAAAGGGGAUGUAUCUAGAUGUAUUUUAGUUCUAGAUACAUCCCUUUUUGUCCAUUUUGAUGACAAGUAUUUUCGGACGGAGGGAGUAGCUU